CGAAAGGGUAAAUAAACUGUUUGAAGAUAAAGACCAUCAUCAUUGGUGAAAAUGCUGGUGAGUGUGUGGUCAUACACUUACAUUAGGGCACAUCAAUUCAGAUGCUUAAUUUCUGGUACCUGGGCUCUUGUAUUCAUUCUACCAGUAC